UACGGAGGAUCCAAGCGUUAUCCGGAUUUAUUGGGUUUAAAGGGUGCGUAGGCGGAUUGAUAAGUUAGAGGUGAAAUGUCCGAGCUCAACUCGGGAACUGCCUCUAAUACUGUUGAUCUAGAGAGUAGAUGCGGUAGGCGGAAUGUAUGGUGUAGCGGUGAAAUGCUUAGAGAUCAUACAGAACACCGAUUGCGAAGGCAGCUUACCAAUCUAUAUCUGACGUUGAGGCACGAAAGCGUGGGGAGCAAGCAGG
rnacentral:rRNA from 1 species